rnacentral:rRNA from 1 species
UACGUAGGUGGCAAGCGUUGUCCGGAAUUAUUGGGCGUAAAGCGCGCGCAGGCGGUCUUUUAAGUCUGAUGUGAAAGCCCACGGCUCAACCGUGGAGGGUCAUUGGAAACUGGGGGACUUGAGUGCAGGAGAGAAGAGUGGAAUUCCACGUGUAGCGGUGAAAUGCGUAGAGAUGUGGAGGAACACCAGUGGCGAAGGCGACUCUUUGGCCUGUAACUGACGCUGAGGUGCGAAAGCGUGGGGAGCAAACAGG